rnacentral:rRNA from 1 species
GACGAACGCUGGCGGCGUGCCUAAUACAUGCAAGUAGGACGCAGUUGCGAACGGGUGAGUAACGCGUAGGUAACUACCUAUUAGAGGGGGAUAACUAUUGGAAACGAUAGCUAAUACCGCAUACUAGUAGAUGGACCUGCGUUGUAUUAGCUAGGAGGUAGGGUAAUGGCCUACCUAGGCAACGAUACAUAGCCGACCUGAUAGGGUGAGCGGCCACACUGGGACUGAGACACAGCCCAGCCUCCUACGGGAGGCAGCAGGAGGGAAUCUUCGGCAAUGGGGGGAUCCCUGACCGAGCAACGCCGCGUGAGGGAAGAAGGUUUUCGGAUCGUAAAGCUCUGUUGUUAGAGAAGCGGUAUCUAACCAGAAAGCCACGGCUAACUACGUGCCAGCAGCCGCGGUAAUAC